rnacentral:misc_RNA from 1 species
CCCAAUCUCUAAUACUCUUCAUCCCAACAGAUAAUUAGAUAUUGAGAAUGCGAAAAUCUGUAUAGAAUCGAAAACCCGCGUCACGGAAUCUCCGAUUUCGUAUCCGUACAGUGAUAACAAGAAACAAGAGAAGAAGCAAGAUGAGGCGGAGAAGAGACCCUUUAGAUAAGACAGAGAUACAUAUUGCUUGUUUCUUUUGGGAUUUU